AUGCAGCCUUCCCGACGCUUCCCCUUCGACCUCCCACAGCGCCGCCGACUUUCACCUCCGGCAGCCAAGAAUGACUUGGAUUCAGACGAGACCAUGAGUGAGGCCGACAUGAUUGAGGAUAUGACCAAAAGUUUUUUCUUCUUGUUUUCAUUUUUGGUUUGCCUUGGCGCAGUGGUAAAGCUGCUGCCUUGUGACCAUGAGGUCAUGGGUUCAAGUCCUGGAAACAGCCUCUUACAGAAAUGUAGGGAAAGGCUGCGUACUAUAGACCCAAAGUGGUCGGACCCUUCCCUGGACCCUGCGCAAGCGGGAGCUACAUGCACCAGGUUGCCCUUUUUUUCAUUUUUGGUUUGCAAUGGAGUGAUGCAUGAUUUCAUAUUGAUUGCUAGGUUCUUUCUUUGCUUUUGUAGUGAACUACUGAAUCAUGAAGUUGUCGCUUUCAUGGAAGAAUUGAAUGUAACACACAACCUCGACGACAUUGACAUGUCAAUGCCAUAUGUGGAGGUGGUGGAGGAGGUCGAGAUGGCCAAGGAGGCCCAAGUGAACAAGAAAAGGAGUAGGUCAAGCAACUACAAGACCGAUGAAGGCGGCGAAGACAGUCCACUCAUGGGGACACCUUGUCUAAGUUGUGUGGUGGCAGCGGCAGUGGUGCUGCCGACAGUGACGACGCUUGUGCUGUUGUGCAUGAGGUCCAUUUGA
rnacentral:rRNA from 1 species